rnacentral:tRNA from 1 species
GGCAGAGUGGCCGAGCGGUCUAAGCCGUUGGUGUUACCACUAGUAUCUUCGGAUGCGUGGGUUCGAAUCCCACCUCUGUCA